CCUACGGGUGGCAGCAGUGGGGAAUAUUGGGCACUGGGCGAAAGCCUGACCCAGCAACGCCGCGUGAAGGAAGAAGGCUUUCGGGUUGUAAACUUCUUUUCUCAGGGACGAAGCAAGAGACGGUACCUGAGGAAUAAGUCACGGCUAACUACGUGCCAACAACCGCGGUAAUACGUAGGUGGCAAGCGUUAUCCGGAUUUACUGGGUGUAAAGGGCGUGUAGGCGGGAAAGCAAGUCAGAUGUGAAAACCAUGGGCUCAACCUGUGGCCUGCAUUUGAAACUGGUUUUCUUGAGUACUGGAGAGUCUGACGGAAUUCCUAGUGUAGCGGUGAAAUGCGUAGAGAUUAGGAGGAACACCAGUGGCGAAGGCGGUCUGCUGGACAGUAACUGACGCUGAGGAGCGAAAGCGUGGGGAGCAAACAGGAUUAGAUACCCUUGUAGUC
rnacentral:rRNA from 1 species